GUGCAGAGCAAUGGCUCAGCAGUUAAGAGCACUUGUUGCUCUUACAGAGGACCUGGGUUGGAUUCCCAGCACCUGAAACCUCUUCUGGCCUCCAUAGACACUGCAUACGCAUGGAGCGUAGUCUUACACACAGGCAAAAUAAAUCUUCUUUUUUGGUUUUUCGAGACAGGGUUUCUCUGUGGCUUUGGAGGCUGUCCUGGAACUAGCUCUUGUAGACCAGACUAGUCUCUAACUCAGAGAGAUCCACCUGCCUCUGCCUCCCAAGUGCACCACCACUGCCCGGCUCUUUUUUUUUUUUUUUUUUUUGAGACAAAAAUCAGUUAAUUUCUUGCUUUGGUGGUUAUAAACAGCGGCCUCCAGGAUUCAGGUGGCUAUAAAGGCAGCAGUGGAGAUCAGAACCACCAAGUCAUGAAUUGAACAGGGAUUGAUGAAUUCCAGCCUGGCUCCACCCAUGGCUGGAGCAGGAUGAACAUCUGCAGGUUACUGACAAAGAGAAUGUCCACCUAGGAGCAGGGAGCAUGCAUACCCCACUCAGGCUUCCUCAGACCACCUUCCAUGGCAGGUUCCAAAUAGGACACACCACAUGCCUCAAGCAUGUGCUCAGCACAGAACAGAUGGGGCAUCUCAAAGGACACAGGGCCAACCUCACUGCAGAGUGCUUAAGUACAGAGCUAACUUUGGGUGUGAAAUAAUCACAAGUUGGCAUUGGUGUGAACAAAGGGUUAUUGGUGGGGGGGGGGGCAAGAGCUGCAGAUCUCAGGUCCACCCCUCCACAGGCUCCGUGGUCAAGGCAGUAUCACUUCCAAAGAAGGCUGAACAGUGUGCACAGGAUAGAGUACAGACCAGGCAAGCAAGCUAAACACACCUUAAUGCUGGUGACACCCUGAGGCAGGCACCUUUGAUCCCCUAGAAUGCUCCACACCUCAGAAAACAUCUGACAAGCCUCUGAAUAACCCUGAUGAGCACCCCCUAAAUCUCAAGAUGGCCCAAAACUCAAAGAGCAUGUGAUAAAGUGGUCACCCAAACCACAAACCUGAUGAUGGGGGUAGCAUCAGAGAUAGAUCAGCAACAAACCACUAACCAGAAUGCAGCAGGGACAGCUGGGGACAACUGAGUGUAGGUGAUGGCAUCAAACACUUCCUUGUCACUUCAGAACAGUCUGAAAGAUGAAUUCUUUGAAUAGCUAAUAACUGAGAAUGUUCCAGAACGGAUAAAAAGACCAUGAUCCAUAAUGGGAAGAAUCUUAACUUCCAAACAGGAUUGAAAGAAACCUGGUGCUCAGCAGACACAGUAAACUGCAGAACACAGGAAAUCUUACACAGCUGGGGGACAGGGGACUUCCUUUGUAGGAAUGACACUAAAGCCACCAGAGGACUUCUGGCAACCUGGAGAGACUGCACAGAAUUUAAAGAAUUGAGAUCACAAAGCAUUUCACACAGACCCAAAAUGGGUAAUUCCAUUUGGGACAGGAGUAGAUGGACUUGAGGUGGACCUGAGACCUCUGCCAUCCAGGACAAGGAGACAAUUCAUUCAGUCCCAGACAUCCAAGUGCUGCUACCGUAGGAACUGUGGAGACCAGAAGCAGCUGUAGCCAUGGAUGCAGCAGCAGGAAAGAUCUAGGAAGACCUGAGGGCGGAAGUCUGCCUCUGACUGAACUCCAUGGCAAGUGUCCACAAGCCAGGUGUCCCUCUAAGACCCACCAGGAUGUCAUGCUGCCCACUGUUUCUGUGUAGAGUCCUGGCGCUGCCUCCUGAAAGGCCAGCUGUGCUCCAGAAGGGAGGAGGGGGAGCCUCAGCAAGUGCUCGUAGUCCCCACCCCGUGCCAAAUGAUUUUCUACAUGGAAAUUAACCCAGCUAUAAAGUUCGUAAGUGAAGUGUGCUCAUCCUCUUGAUCUGUAGCCACUACAGAGCUUGGCCUUUACACUUCCUUUCUAUGUACAGAUGACAGUUAGGAUUGGUGUUGGUGGCCAAGCAUGGUGGCACACACCUUUAAUCCCAGCACUCAGGAGCAGAGGCAGGAGGAUCUCAGUGUGUUUGAGGCCAGCCUGGUCUACAUGGUGAGUUCCAGGACAUCCAGGGCUAUGUAAAAAGAGCCUGUCUCAAAUAACAACAAACAAACAAAAGACAUACCUGAGGAUAUGAAUGUGGCUGCUCAUAGAGUCACAGAACAUACCCAUGCAUGGGUUGGGGCUUCUGCAUCCCAGGUUGGCCUCAAAUAUAGCUGAGGAUGACCUCAAACUUCUGGUCCCCCUAACUUCCAGUUUCCAAAUGCUGAGAAUCACAGGCACCUCCUGACUACUUUUCAUCUCAGUCCAUGUUUGGCUGUGCUGGUGCUGUCUUUACUUUCAGCUCCUGGGAGGCAGAAGCAGGGGGAUCUCUGUGAGUUUGAGGCCAGACUGGUCUACAGAGUGAGAGAUCCUAUAUCCGAAAAUAAAUUGAGAGAAAGAAAACACUGUGAAACCCCCAGGAAGUGCCAGGCCUGGACUCACUGGCAAGUGUUCCACAGCCCUGAGCUUGGAGGUAGCAUCUAAUGUACCCUCUGGUGACAGAGGGUUAGAGUGUUGCCCACUGUGCUCGCACCAUCCUCUUGACCCUUAUCAGGGCAGCUUCUUGGUCUCUCUGGUUCCCAGUCAACUAAGCAGACAGCAUCAAAUCUGUGGAUAUCUGAGCCUGCUGGAAAGCCCUGAGGUUAGAUGCUGUGGCAGAUGGAGACCAGUCAUGUCCACAGGGAGGCUGAAUUGCAAAAAGACCGGGCACAUGCUCUAGCCUGGGGCUCCAAGGAUGUGCUGACACUCUUAGGACAGGCAGAGGGGACAUAGGCAUAGAGAGGCUAAGGUCCUGCAGGUACACCAAAGGAAAGAGGAGCCUCAUUCCACAUCAGAGCCAGAGCCAGCAGUCACCCUCAACCUCAGGCAAAGGGAAUGAGUUCCCCCAAGGCAGAGCUGGGCACAAGGAAUUGUCCUGGGCCCCCCAGGCCUGAGAAAAGCUCCAGUGAGGAGAAGCUGGCCAUUUCAGCCAGGGUCCUGGUGAGUAUCUAGUGAGAGAUGGGACAGCUGGGAGAGAGCACAAGUGGGAAAGGGCCAGCCUGGGCUACCAGAUUCUUACAGAGUGGAGAGUUGGCCAGCCCACUGGAAAGUUCCAAGAAGGAUUACUCUGCUCUGCAACAUCCUGCUAAGGAUUUACCCAAAGAAGGAAAAGCUGGGAGCACAGAGAAGCUGCUGAGGGUUGUUUACAGACAGACUUGGAAGACCUAAGCGGCAGGGGAACGGGUCUCAGGAUGACACCACGGUGGCCAGACUGGCUGGCAGCCUGAAUGUAUCCAGGCUGAGCCUGAGGGCUCAGAGGACAAGGUGGGGGCGGGGGUGGGGUGCUGCAUCAGCUGGGGGAUGACAGCCAUGGGACAGAGGACACUGCCCAGGGAGUCACAGCAUCUAACCUCAGGGCUGAACAGCAAUGUGCUACCAAAGAGAGCUGACUCGGUGCCAGGCCAGAAGCCCACACAUAGCCACACAGCUAAUUGUAACAUGGGAAAUGUGGCCAGACUUUAAGUGCCUGGUGAACCCCAGGUCAGCAAAGGUUCUAGUCUAACACCCAAGAGUGACGAUGGCCUCAUGGUCCUCUGCAGCCCACACGAGUGUGACCUUCUUGUGCCCUGGGACUGUUAGAAAGUGUCUCUGACAUCACAGACAUAGACUAGAUUCAAGACAAGCACCCAGCAACAGCAAAGGGCAUGCAGGGGCUCUGCACACCACGUGACAGAUAUGUCCAGGGGACAGAGCAGCCUCAGAGACCCAGGGCCAGCAGACCCUGGGCUUUCAUUCACACAUGCUGUGUGAACGAACGGCUUAGAUGGUGGAUCACAGAUUCUUCCUAUACAUUUAGGGGCAAAAUAUCCAAUUGACUCUUUCAAGCAUUUUUUAUAUCAUUUCACUGGCAUAAACUACAUUUUUUUUUUUUUGAUUUUUUGAGACAGGGUUUCUCUGUGUAGCUUUGGAGCCUGUCCUGGCACUCGUUCUGGAGACCAGGCUGGCCUGGAACUCACAAAGAUCCGCCUGCCUCUGCCUCCCGAGUGCUGGGAUUAAAGGCGAGAGCCACCAACGCCUGGCCUGAGCUACAUUCUUGUAUACCAGUCAUGCAUCUACAGCUGCAGUCCCCCAACUGUGUACUCCUAGCUGCAGAUCUGCCCCCGACCCCAGCCAUGCACUGUCUGCAGCUCUCUCCCAGCCUGAGGAAGUUGCCUCUUCCAGGUGUUUCAGAUGAGUAGAACAGACAUACUAUUAGCCCUGUGACUGGCUCCUUCCAACUUGCAUAACAUUCUCAAAGUGGAUUCGUGUUUUCAGUUUUGUGGCUGCUUAUUAGCUGGACCAUAUUCUAUGCAUGCAUUCUUCUCUGGAUGCCUGGGUUGUUCCCACCUCUCAUCCUUUGUAAACACAGGGGUAGGGGUACAGUCCCUGUCUAAGCACCCCUUUUAUUCCUUUGGACAGCUACCAGAAGUGGAAUGGUGAUCAAGAGGCUGCUGCAACUUUGGAUCCACCAGACUUUGUUUUUUUACAGGCAUUGGUGUUUCACCUGCAUGUAUGUCAGUGUGAGGCUUUCAGACCUUGGAGUUACAGGUAGUUUUGAGCUGCCAGCCAUGUGGGUGCUAAGAAUUGGUCCCACUCCUUAGGAAGAAUAGUCAGUGCUCUUAACCACUGAGCCAUCUCUCCAGCCUAUGGCUGUUGUGGGGUAUUUGUACAGUGUGAAGAUGUACUGCUGUGAUUGGUGUAAUAAAAAGCUCAACAGUCAAUAGCUAGGCAGGAGAGUUCAGGUAGGACUUUUAGGCAGAGAACUCUGGGAAGAUGAAAGGCAGGGUCUCCAGCCAGACAUAGAGGUCACAGGAUGGGUAGUUCAGAGAUGAGCCUAGGGGUCCUGACAAGAAAACAUUGUUACACUAGCCACACCUUUUACAUCCCAUUAACAGAUUGAUACUGUUACUUAAAAAUUCACAUUUUCUGUUGAUGGCCACUAAGGAAGGCAAUCGGUGGUGGGGUUCUGGGUUCUUUCUGGCUUUGUUGUGCUGUGUGGUUUGUAAAAUAAACUCUCCUCUGCCAAUGACAAACAUGUCCUGUGGAGUCUAGGAAAACCGCA
rnacentral:lncRNA from 1 species